UCCCUGGUAGUCUAGUGGUUAAGACCCCCACACUCCCACUGCAUGAGGCCCAGGUUCAGUUCCUGGUCAGGGAA
rnacentral:tRNA from 1 species